UCCGGUUGAUCCUGCCAGAGGCCGCUGCUAUCCGGCUGGGACUAAGCCAUGCUAGUCUAGGGGCUUGUACCCCUUCGGGGGUGCAAGCACCGGCGGACGGCUCAGUAACACGUGGACAACCUGCCCUCGGGUGGGGGAUAACCCCGGGAAACUGGGGCUAAUCCCCCAUAGGUGAUGGGUGCUGGAAUGCCCCAUCUCCGAAAGCGCUCAGCGCCCGAGGAUGGGUCUGCGGCGGAUUAGGUAGUUGGUGGGGUAACGGCCCACCAAGCCUAAGAUCCGUACGGGCUGUGGGAGCAGGAGCCCGGAGAUGGACCCUGAGACAAGGGUCCAGGCCCUACGGGGCGCAGCAGGCGCGAAACCUCCGCAAUGCGGGAAACCGCGACGGGGUUAGCCGGAGUGCCCGUGCAUUGCACGGGCUGUCGGGGUGCCUAAACAGCACCCCAUAGCAAGGGCCGGGCAAGGCCGGUGGCAGCCGCCGCGGUAAGACCGGCGGCCCGAGUGGCGGCCACUCUUAUUGGGCCUAAAGCGUCCGUAGCCGGCCCAGUAAGUCCCCCGGGAAAUCUGGUCGCUUAACGAUCAGACUUCCGGGGGAUACUGCUGGGCUAGGGAC
rnacentral:rRNA from 1 species